GGAAACAUGGUGGAACUGGCACCAAGUAAUUAUUAUUAAUAUUAUUAUUUUAUUAUUUAUAUAGCGCCACCAGAUUCCGUAGCGCUGUACAAUUGCACCGAUGUCAAUCAUCUGUUGGCUUGGCCUGCUGUCGCUUGGUUUUACUUUAUGCAGCUCGGCUUUCUUCUAACCUAGUCGAGCCAAGCUGUCUUGCUGUCCUCAGAACAACACACACCUCCCGAAAUUCAAAAGGACAAAGAGGCACACUUCAAUUUUAUAGCUGGGACUAAGGGGUGGGGGGCUGUUCUGAGACAUUUCAGGUGACUUACG